rnacentral:sRNA from 1 species
UAUGAAUAGCUCCACUCCCCUCCUAGAACCUCCAAACGAGCUCUCAAGGUCCAAAGUGUGAGAGGGUGGCUGGUAGUGGU